rnacentral:lncRNA from 1 species
CUUUAAAUUAAUUACAUUCACCGACCUCUAACGAAUUCCCUUUUGGAGACGCCUAUGGAAAUCGUCCAUCGUCGCCUACAGUCAAAGCGCAGCGAGUAAGAACCGCCGCGCAUGGGCGUUAUUGGAUCAAUGAACGAGUCGAUUCAAAAAGUCAGUCGGUCACAGAAACUCAAAUUAAGAGGUAUGCAAAUUUAAAUAUUUCCCUUGGGACGAAAUCUGAGAAGAAAAUUGAGUACAAUCAAAUAGAAAACAUAUAAUUAACAACUUAAUCAGUUCAAGAACACAUGGAAACUCCUGGAUACUCAAUUUAAAACGAAAAUAUCAAAGAAUUCAAACAUUUAUAUAAAGCGUUGGACUAUUCAUUAUGGCGGCUUGAAGUUUUGCAUAACCUCUUCUUCCAGAUAAGUCUCUAAACUAUUUAUGUAAUAAAACCCGUUCUCUGAUAUUCAUCCAUAUGUAUAUACAUAAAUUGUUAUUUUCUUUGUCGAAAUCCAACAUUUAAUCCAAAGUUUCACGUUUCCUUAUCAUUAGAUCCUUUUUUUAUGACAGUGAGUAGUUUUUGUGUCAUUUUUAUAAGUCAUACAAAAAGUUCUAGCCAUAGAUAAGGUAUAUAUAAUUAGGAUAUAUGGUUCUAGCCUUGUGGAAAUUUUAUUUAAUGCGCAUAGGCGACAAUGUUUCAAUUUGACAGUAAAGAUGUCAUAAGUUUGACAACCAACAUGCUGUCUAGAUAAUGCUUGCUUGUUUGGUAACAGUAAUACCGGUCGUUGACCCGAUGUAAAAAUGUGUGCUGUUACAAUCAUUUUGGGAAACUGUACCUUUUCUUAAAGCUAUUUUGAUUGUAGAUUUCGUCCUAUACAUAUAAAUAGAAGCAGUAUUUACAUUGUUCUGUUGGAACAUUACUUUGAAGACCAGUACCUAGUUUUUGGAUCCUUGCUUUUGAUACCAGUAGUUGAGACAACACCACCAUUACCUAAUUUCCACCACAACUAAUACAACAACAGUUUCUUGCUUUUCCCAACAGAUGUGAACAAGUUUUAGAUUUUUGUCCUGCCUGGAAGGAUCAACCUUUAGGACUUUCUCCUGGAAACAGCUGUGGGAUAAGUUAAGCUUUUAUUUUAUAUAUACAUUGAUCAAGGUCUUGAUUUUAAUUCUCACUUUAUUUACCACCAGUGUAAACUGUUUUAUAUGCAUAUAAUUCAGGUUAUAUAUCUAUUUUUUUCCCUUGUAAUAAAUAGGAGUUUUCAAUCAUAAAUAGGACUAUGAAAUAUAGAUAAAUUAGGUAAUGGUCAAUAAUAAAACAAGUUUUUUUUAAUAAUAAAUCAGUUCAAAUCAUAAAUAAGUAAAUUCAGUUAGUUUAAAAUUUAAUAAGAUAGGGAAAUAAAAUUUAACAGUUUUUUGAAUAAGAGAAAGACAUUAAAAUUUAUACAGGAUUUUUUUUAUAGCAUUUAAGUAAAGAGUUUUGACCGACUCAGAUCUAGUGUUUUGUAUAUCUCCCAGUAUCUGUGGUCAAGCAUAUUACAUGCACCCAGAUCUGGAACGUUAAGUAGUUGGACAACUGACAGUCCCAGGAUUAUUAUAUUAUUAACCGUAGGUUACGACUUGUGCUUUGUCCCGGACUUUGACUGUUUACCUCUUUGAUAUUUUGUUAUUCGGUCCAAUAGUGGUGUAUAUUUUUAUUAGUGUCCAUAAAGGUCCUGUUAUAUCAUUUAUUCCUCACACACCACUAUUGUUAAACUAUUUAUUGUCUGUAUACUUACUAAAUUAUUAAAUUGUAUUUAUAGAAAUAUUUAUUAAUAAUAAUAAUAUAUUUGUGGUUACUA